rnacentral:lncRNA from 1 species
CACUAUGAAGAAUUCCAAGUGCGCUCUCCUCAUCCUUGCUUCCCUUGUUCUUGCAUCUUCAAUCAAACAGGCUUCUUCUGCUGCUCCAGUAAUCGAUUGCCUCAACGUCAUGCUUCCUGAAGCUUGCCUUGUUCCAAUUCAAGGCGACAAGUGCUGCCAGCUCCUGAUCGACAUCGCUGAGACCUGCGGCUGCGAGCUCAACCUGUUCCAGAAUCUCAAACUCACCUGCGACGAUGAGCUGUGCCCCUCUCCAGCUCCAUAAUAAUCCUAAUCCCGGAACAGUAGAUUACACCUCAAGUUGAAGCAUGAUGUAAGGUCUUGUAAUAAGAGAUUCGCCCUGACCUGAGCUGUGUGUCCUCAUGGUGCCGGCUGAUUUUGAACUAGUGCAUGCUGGAGAAUUCUGCAUUGCAGCCGUUUUCUUAGGUCCUCCAAGCUAGCACCAGCUAGCUGAUAGAAGAAAAUAUUUCUACGCAUUUCUUCUGCCUUGGAAAUGUGACCAUCUCAUCUCUGGAGGAAAAAGAAACAAACAAAAAAAAGGCAGCAUACCUCACUCUCCGGAUUCGUGGAACCCCGUUGCUCAUUUUCGAGAGGCCAGACAAAGUUCUCGACCGGGAGAAAACUUCGAAUGCAGGGACACGAGGAGAUAGAUUUCGCGAGAUCAUCAAAUAGAUGUGGGAGUGAACAAGACCACGUCAGCGCGCAGGGCCACGACGCCGCCACAAGUUGUGACGAUAAACUCAUACAUUUAACCAUGUAUCAACCGUCAUAACAAUAAUAACCACAUGGUAAAGGAACUUAUUGGAAUAUUCUUUGCUUUACAAGCAACAUUGGCAAGAAUCGAACCCAAAACGCAUGCUCUGAGAAACAAG